GUGCUCACUUCAGCAGAACAUAUACAAAAAUUGGAAUGAUACGGAGAAGAUUAGCCUGGGUCCUGUGCAAGAAUGACAUGCAAAGUUGUGAACAGUGAUGAGUCUGC
ensembl:snRNA U6 U6 spliceosomal RNA